rnacentral:rRNA from 1 species
CCUACGGGAGGCAGCAGUGAGGAAUAUUGGUCAAUGGACGAGAGUCUGAACCAGCCAAGUAGCGUGAAGGAUGACUGCCCUAUGGGUUGUAAACUUCUUUUAUAAAGGAAUAAAACGAGGCACGUGUGCCUUUUUGCAUGUACUUUAUGAAUAAGGAUCGGCUAACUCCGUGCCAGCCGCCGCGGUAAUACGGAGGAUCCGAGCGUUAUCCGGAUUUAUUGGGGUUAAAGGGAGCGUAGAUGGGUUGUUAAGUUAGUUGUGAAAGUUUGCGGCUCAACCGUAAAAUUGCAAUUGAUACUGGCAGUCUUGAGUACAGUUGAGGUAGGCGGAAUUCGUGGUGUAGCGGUGAAAUGCUUAGAUAUCACGAAGAACCCCGAUUGCGAAGGCAGCUUACUAAACUGUGACUGACAUUGAUGCUCGAAAGUGUGGGUAUCAAACAGGAUUAGAUACCCUUGUAGUC